rnacentral:lncRNA from 1 species
CUCUUUCUCUUCCCCACAAGUUCCUGGCCAGCCUCUUCCACUCUUCCUCUCUCCUCUCUCUUUCUGUCCCUGUCCUUUCUCUCCUUCUACCCCUCCUCCAUGCCCCCUUCCAGUCCACCAAUAAAAUUCCUUUUAUAUUAGGUCUAUCACAUGGCUUGACUGUUCAUGGGAACACCUUGGCAGGGACCGCUAAGGUAUUCCCUCCCGCCACAUUAUAAGGAAUCUCACAAAACACAGCAGAUGUUGCUGAUGCAAGGGACACACUUUGAGAUAUCCUAGCAGCAAGCCCCACUUUCCAGUAACUGAAGUCAUCUGCAGACACUGAGACCGUCCUUCGGAGGUGGGGCAGCUGAGAACCAUUGAAUACGGGAAGGCGUCUGAAGGCUCGUGGAAGCAGGGAUGCAGAAACACAUCCUCAUCACCUCCCGUCUCGCCUUCUCCCUCAGGAGAGCUAGAAGUACAGUCCUCCCAGCAAGGUCCAGGGAGAAAGAGCUUGGUUGGUGGAGGCUCACGUGUGAGCUGGAGAGAGCGUGGGUUUCUUCAUCUCCAUGGGGGUGAUGGGAUCCCAGUACUUCUGAAGUGGGACAGUGGGACUGAAGCCUCACAGACAGGAAAGGCACUCGUUCACUAACCACACCUGGGCAGAGAUGGCCACACUGAUGUUUUAUCAGGCGAUUUUGCCUUGAUCAGGCCAGCUGCUUCGGGGAGGUGGGAAGGCUAGCACAAAGCCUCUGUGAAUGCUUGCAUUUGCUCCUUGGUGCUCACUCAUGCUUCCUCAGAGCGAAAGCUCCCCACUCCUCCAGCGUGCUUGGGCACAGCUGAGUAGGCGGGACAUGACGUGCCAAUUUGCUCUUCCUUCCCCGAAGGCCGCUUCCAGACCAUAUUUUUUAAUUUACAGAAUUUCUUAUCUAUUCCCUUGUUAUCCUGGAUACCAAUAUUUCUGCUAGCCAGAGAAUCCUUCAAACAAGAAAGACCCGGACUACGAAUCUUUA